UGAUUUACUUUCGGAUUAGACACCUGGGC
rnacentral:piRNA from 1 species